rnacentral:rRNA from 1 species
GACGAACGCUGGCGGCGUGCUUAACACAUGCAAGUCGAACGGUGAAGCUCCAGCUUGCUGGAGUGGAUCAGUGGCGAACGGGUGAGUAACACGUGAGCAACCUGCCCCUGACUCUGGAAUAAGCGCUGGAAACGGCGUCUAAUACUGGAUACGAGAAGGGUCCGCAUGGGCACUUUCUGGAAAGUUUUUCGGUUGGGGAUGGGCUCGCGGCCUAUCAGCUUGUUGGUGAGGUAAUGGCUCACCAAGGCGACGACGGGUAGCCGGCCUGAGAGGGCGACCGGCCACACUGGGACUGGGACACGGCCCAGACUCCUACGGGAGGCAGCAGUGGGGAAUAUUGCACAAUGGGCGAAAGCCUGAUGCAGCGACGCCGCGUGAGGGAUGACGGCCUUCAGGUUGUAAACCUCUUUCAGCAGGGAAGAAGCGAAAGUGACGGUACCUGCAGAAGAAGCACCGGCUAACUACGU